rnacentral:rRNA from 1 species
UACGAAGGGUGCAAGCGUUACUCGGAAUUACUGGGCGUAAAGCGUGCGUAGGUGGUUUUUUAAGUCCGUUGUGAAAGCCCUGGGCUCAACCUGGGAAUGGCAGUGGAUACUGGAAAGCUAGAGUGCGGUAGAGGUGAGUGGAAUUUCCGGUGUAGCGGUGAAAUGCGUAGAUAUCGGAAGGAACACCUGUGGCGAAAGCGGCUCACUGGACCAUUACUGACGCUGAGGCACGAAAGCUAGGGGAGCAAACAGG